UACAGAGGUCUCGAGCGUUAGGCGGAAUCACUGGGCUUAAAGCGUGUGUAGGCGGAUUGGUAAGUACUUUGUGAAAUCCCACGGCUUAACCGUGGAACUGCUUGGUAUACUGCCAGUCUUGAGCCAGCUAGGGGCUACCGGAACAAAUGGUGGAGCGGUGAAAUGCGUAGAUAUCAUUUGGAACGCCAAUGGUGAAAACAGGUCGCUGGGAGUGUGCUGACACUGAGACACGAAAGCCAGGGGAGCAAACGGG
rnacentral:rRNA from 1 species